UAGGGAAUAUUGCAAAAUGGGCGAAAGCCCGAUGCAGCAACGCCGCGUGGGCGAUGAAGGCCUUCGGGUCGUAAAGCCCUUUUUGAGGGGAUGAGGAAGGACAGUACCCUCAGAAUAAGCCUCGGCUAACUACGUGCCAGCAGCCGCGGUAAAACGUAGGAGGCGAGCGUUAUCCGGAUUUACUGGGCGUAAAGCGCGUGCAGGCGGAUUGGAGAGUUGGAUGUGAAAGCUCCCGGCUUAACUGGGAGAGGCCGUUCAAUACUUCCAGUCUUGAGUGCAGGAGAGGGAAGUGGAAUUCCGGGUGUAGUGGUGAAAUGCGUAGAUAUCCGGAGGAACACCAGUGGCGAAAGCGGCUUCCUGGACUGUAACUGACGCUCAGACGCGAAAGCUAGGGUAGCAAACG
rnacentral:rRNA from 1 species